AUUAAUAUGCAUCGUUUCUUUUUUUCAUUGUUUUUUCAAGGAGUCUGCUGCUAUAGGUCCAGUCAUCUGGCUUAAUGGACCUAGAAGCAACUUAUUAUUCUCCCUAUAUGUCACACAAGAUGUAACUUACUAUGAGGGAAAAAAAGAAAGAAAAAGAGGUUCAAACUUUGUCUCAAAACAGCAGCUAUGAGGUAUCAAAUUUUGUCGGCAGUGCCGUAGUGGUGUGUUUCAUAUACACAUGACUGUCUAAGAAUCUGAUACAACUUUUGAAUUCGGUAGAGGGUAGAUGCAUGAUUACAUGGUGUAAUGCCACAAGUUUGAGCCAGUAUUUAGUACUCUCGGGGGAGUUGCCAGAGGGCGAUAAAGCUAUUCUCAAGCACCUCUAAAAGUGAGCUGACCAGUACCAAAUCCAAGAGUUUUAAGCUGGAUUUUCGUUUUGAAAAAUCAAAGAUAAUAUGCUGGCACUACGAUAUAAUAUUAUUAGGGUGUGUGGAAUUAAAGCCGAAACAAAGAACGAGGUUUAGACUUGGCGAAUCAAAAACACAAAUGCGGAAUCAAAUUUUGUCAUCCAGAAUUCAUACUACUUUUUAAGAAUCUGAUAGAAUGAUUAGAUAAGAUGCAUAAUGGUGGUGUUUAUGUGCUAGCAAAUGAGUGUUGCCCUUCGCUCAGGCAAACAACGCUUAGAUGAUUAUUGAUGUUUUCAGUAUAUUCCUGUGAGAAAGAGUGGUCAAAGCCUACAAGUUUAAAAUGUAACUUGCGAAUGAAGGUCGAUGCAUAAAAUAUCUUAAUUUUUUUUAAAUGAGUUUUUGAGCAAUCAAUAAACAAUUGAGAGAUAGAUUAGGUAGUAUUUUUUUGUAACAUGUGAUGCUACAAAACAUUUUUGCAUUGUUAAUAUCAUUGAUAAAUAU